CAGCUGGAGUAGCUGUCAUAGCAUCGUUCGUAUCAUUUACUCCGAAAUUAUUUGAAUUUUAUGUCAUUCGGGCAUUGUUUCGUAGUGUCCUCUCGGAAAGUGGAAAGUACGUAAUUGGGAACGAGCGAAUAAGUCGAGAAGAUAGACUCCUUCGCAAUGGAAAUAAAUUCGAUAAACGAGAAACUCCGAAGGAAUGAAAUAUUCAAAUACUUACAAGAGAAGUUGAAAUUAGUGAAGUUACCGUCAGGCAGAUGGGGAGUUGGAAAGGGAAAUGAAGAAUUUUUCACUUUUAUAAACGCCGAAGAAGAUUUUAGUAUUAAAAAGGUCAUAACUGUAUAUCCAAGUUUACAAGUGGACAUUUGUAUUAAUAGUACCAUUUCACCAUUGUCAAAGUACAUAACAGUCACUAAUAUCUGUGAAUUAAGUGAUAUUUUAAAUACGGUGGAUGCAAUGUAGGCAUACGAAUUGAACAACACUAGUCUGGCAACAUUCCUCAAGGACAAGGUAUACAAAGGAGAAAGUAUAGUAAGAACGAAGAAAAUUGUUGGAAAUAUCGUGUUCAAAUUCAAGUAGAAGACGAUGAGAAAUUCAUUGGGAUUUCUAUAACUCAUGUGCUUUUAUAUUCACCUUUUCAAGGUA